UGGGGAAUAUUGCACAAUGGAGGAAACUCUGAUGCAGCGACGCCGCGUGAGUGAAGAAGUAUUUCGGUAUGUAAAGCUCUAUCAGCAGGGAAGACAGUGACGGUACCUGACUAAGAAGCUCCGGCUAAAUACGUGCCAGCAGCCGCGGUAAUACGUAUGGAGCAAGCGUUAUCCGGAUUUACUGGGUGUAAAGGGAGUGUAGGUGGUAUCACAAGUCAGAAGUGAAAGCCCGGGGCUCAACCCCGGGACUGCUUUUGAAACUGUGGAACUGGAGUGCAGGAGAGGUAAGUGGAAUUCCUAGUGUAGCGGUGAAAUGCGUAGAUAUUAGGAGGAACACCAGUGGCGAAGGCGGCUUACUGGACUGUAACUGACACUGAGGCUCGAAAGCGUGGGGAGCAAACAGGAUUAGAUACCCUGGUAGU
rnacentral:rRNA from 1 species